rnacentral:rRNA from 1 species
UACCAGCAUCCCGAGUGGUCGGGACGUUUAUUGGGCCUAAAGCAUCCGUAGCCGGUUCUACAAGUCUUCCGUUAAAUCCAGCUGCUUAACAGAUGGGCUGCGGAAGAUACUAUGGAGCUAGGAGGCGGGAGAGGCAAGCGGUACUCGAUGGGUAGGGGUAAAAUCCGUUGAUCCAUUGAAGACCACCAGUGGCGAAGGCGGCUUGCCAGAACGCGCUCGACGGUGAGGGAUGAAAGCUGGGGGAGCAAACCGG